rnacentral:rRNA from 1 species
AUGAACGCUGGCGGCGUGCCUAAUACAUGCAAGUCGAACGCUUUGUGGUUCAACUGAUUUGAAGAGCUUGCUCAGAUAUGACGAUGGACAUUGCAAAGAGUGGCGAACGGGUGAGUAACACGUGGGAAACCUACCUCUUAGCAGGGGAUAACAUUUGGAAACAGAUGCUAAUACCGUAUAACAAUGACAACCGCAUGGUUGUUAUUUCAAAGAUGGUUCUGCUAUCACUAAGAGAUGGUCCCGCGGUGCAUUAGCUAGUUGGUAAGGUAAUGGCUUACCAAGGCGAUGAUGCAUAGCCGAGUUGAGAGACUGAUCGGCCACAAUGGGACUGAGACACGGCCCAUACUCCUACGGGAGGCAGCAGUAGGGAAUCUUCCACAAUGGGCGAAAGCCUGAUGGAGCAACGCCGCGUGUGUGAUGAAGGGUUUCGGCUCGUAAAACACUGUUGUAAGAGAAGAAUGACAUUGAGAGUAACUGUUCAAUGUGUGACGGUAUCUUACCAGAAAGGAACGGCUAAAUACGUGCCAGCAGCCGCGGUAAUACGUAUGUUCCAAGCGUUAUCCGGAUUUAUUGGGCGUAAAGCGAGCGCAGACGGUUAUUUAAGUCUGAAGUGAAAGCCCUCAGCUCAACUGAGGAAUUGCUUUGGAAACUGGAUGACUUGAGUGCAGUAGAGGAAAGUGGAACUCCAUGUGUAGCGGUGAAAUGCGUAGAUAUAUGGAAGAACACCAGUGGCGAAGGCGGCUUUCUGGACUGUAACUGACGUUGAGGCUCGAAAGUGUGGGUAGCAAACAGGAUUAGAUACCCUGGUAGUCCACACCGUAAACGAUGAGUGCUAGGUGUUUGAGGGUUUCCGCCCUUAAGUGCCGCAGCUAACGCAUUAAGCACUCCGCCUGGGGAGUACGACCGCAAGGUUGAAACUCAAAGGAAUUGACGGGGACCCGCACAAGCGGUGGAGCAUGUGGUUUAAUUCGAAGCAACGCGAAGAACCUUACCAGGUCUUGACAUCCCUUGACAACUCCAGAGAUGGAGCGUUCCCUUCGGGGACAAGGUGACAGGUGGUGCAUGGUUGUCGUCAGCUCGUGUCGUGAGAUGUUGGGUUACGUCCCGCAACGAGCGCAACCCUUAUUACUAGUUGCCAGCAUUCAGUUGGGCACUCUAGUGAGACUGCCGGUGACAAACCGGAGGAAGGUGGGGAUGACGUCAAAUCAUCAUGCCCCUUAUGACCUGGGCUACACACGUGCUACAAUGGCGUAUACAACGAGUUGCCAACCCGCGAGGGUGAGCUAAUCUCUUAAAGUACGUCUCAGUUCGGAUUGUAGGCUGCAACUCGCCUACAUGAAGUCGGAAUCGCUAGUAAUCGCGGAUCAGCACGCCGCGGUGAAUACGUUCCCGGGUCUUGUACACACCGCC